AGACUUAAAUCCUCCCCAUCUUGA
rnacentral:siRNA from 1 species